CGACCUCAGAUCAGGUGGGACUCCCCGCCGAAUUUAAGCAUAUUAGUAAGCGGAGGAAAAGAAACUAACAAGGAUUCCCUUAGUAGCUGCGAGCGAACAGGGAAAAGCCCAGCACUGAAUCCCAAAGGCCUCGCCUUUAGGGAAAUGUGGUGUUUUGGAGUGCCCGAUCAACCCGGGAACCGUGCGCCGUGUUCAAGUCCAUCUUGAACGGGGCCAAGGUCCGUAGAGGGUGCCAGGCCCGUAGCUGACCGGCGCCGGCCCCGGGUGGGUUCCUCCUUAGAGUCGGGCUGCUUGAGAGUGCAGCCCUAAGCGGGUGGUAAACUCCAUCUAAGGCUAAAUGCAACCACGAGACCGAUAGAGAACAAGUACCGUGAGGGAAAGUUGAAAAGAACUUUGAAGAGAGAGUUCAAGAGUACGUGAAACCGCUCAGGGGUAAACGGAAAAGACCCGAAACACCGAAAAGGGAGAUUCACGUCUUCUCGCGGGUGCCGGCUUUCGGCCUGGGGAUGGCCUCGCGCCCCGCCCGGUUCGUCCGUGGCGGUGGGCGGGCUGCCCCUUCCGGAGUGCUCGGCUUCGCGGGGGACCGCACUUCUCCCCCAGUAGGACGUCGCGACCCGCUCUGCGGCGGUCUAACGGCCGGAAGAAAGCCUGUCCGGGGCCUUCCCCUCGUGGGUUGCCUCCCGGGCAGAUCUCCGGACCCGCGGCCGCCGGUCCGGGCGGUAUGAACGACUAUAGCGAUGGGCCGCUCCUUGUGAGCGCCGCAGUCUCCCCGCAAGCUCGGGUCGGGCCGUCGGGCCGUAUCCUCACGGGUACGCCCGGUGCCCGCCCGGACUGUUGGCGGGUCGAGUGCUCAGGCCGUUGUCCAUCACGCUUGUCGGCGGCGCUUCAGAUUCGGGCACUUAUCCGACCCGUCUUGAAACACGGACCAAGGAGUCUAGCGUGUGCGCGAGUCAUUGGGUGAAAAACCUAAAGGCGCAAUGAAAGUGUCAGAGGGUGCCUCAGGUGCCCUCGGAGGGAGGAUGGGUUCCCGGCCCCCAAGCCGGAGCCCCGCACUCCCGGGGCGUCUCAUUCUCGCAUCGCGAGUCGAGACGCACCAGGAGCGCACACGCUGUUACCCGAAAGAUGGUGAACUAUGCCUGGCCAGGACGAAGCCAGGGGAAACCCUGGUGGAGGUCCGAAGCGAUUCUGACGUGCAAAUCGAUCGUCUGAGCUGGGUAUAGGGGCGAAAGACCAAUCGAACUAUCUAGUAGCUGGUUCCCUCUGAAGUUUCCCUCAGGAUAGCUGGCUCUCGAGGAGAGACGAGUCUCAUCCGGUAGAGCGAAUGAUUAGAGGUGAUGGGGUCGAAACGACUUCAACCUAUUCUCAAACUCCCAAUAGAUGAGAGCCCCGGCUUGCUUGAAAGUGAAGCCGCGGGAUUCGGAUCGGAGAGGCCAAGUGGGCCAAUUUUGGUAAGCAGAACUGGCGCUGUGGGAUGAACCAAACGCGGAGUUAAGGCGCCUGAUUCGACGCUCAUCUGAAACCAUGAAAGGCGUUGGUUGCUUAAGACAGCAGGACGGUGGUCAUGGAAGUCGAAAUCCGCUAAGGAGUGUGUAACAACUCACCUGCCGAAGCAACUAGCCCUGAAAAUGGAUGGCGCUGUAGCGUCGUGCCUAUACUCCGCCGUCAACGGCAGAGCGGGCGGCCCCUCCGGGGGCGUCGCCGUUAAGCCUUGACGAGUAAGAGGGUCGCGGCGGUGUGCGCGGAAGGGUCUGGGCGUGAGCCCGCCUGGAGCCGCCGCCGGUGCAGAUCUUGGUGGUAGUAGCAAAUACUCCAGCGAGGCCCUGGAGGACUGAUGUGGAGAAGGGUUUCUUGUGAACAGCUGUUGCACAAGAGUCAGUCGAUCCUAAGCCCUAGGAGAAAUCCGAAGCGAUGGUCUGCCGUUAACUCUCUCUGUGUGGUCUCGGGCCCGGCGGCCGCCUCCCCGGUGUACCCCACCGGUGAGCGGACGUCCGGACCCGGCCAGUCGUGAGCCGGCACCGUCUGGGCGAAAGGGAAUCUGGUUCCUAUUCCAGAACCCGGCCGCGGAACCGCUCCAAUUCGGGCCCUCAUCCGAGGACUCGUCGGGGUGACCCGAAAUGACCCGGAGAAGCCGUAGGAAGAUCCGGGGAGAGUUGUCUCUUCUCUAUAAGCGUUCGAGUUCCCUGGAAGCCUCUAGGAGGGAGAUAGGGUUUGGAACGCGAAGAGCACCGCACUUACGGCGGUGUCCGGAUCUUUCCCUCGGACCUUGAAAAUCCGGGCGAGGGCCACGAGGAACACCGCGCCGGCUCGUACCCAUAUCCGCAGCAGGUCUCCAAGGUGAAUAGCCUCUAGUCGAUAGAAUAAUGUAGGUAAGGGAAGUCGGCAAACCCGAUCUGUAACUUCGGGAUAAGGAUUGGCUCUGAGGAUCGUGGCGCGCCGGGCUUGGUCGGGAAGUGGAGCGGUGCCAACGUGCCGGGCCUGGGCGAGGAUAAGAGCGCUCGUC
rnacentral:rRNA from 1 species